rnacentral:misc_RNA from 1 species
GAUGAAGAACGUAGCGAAAUGCGAUAAGUAAUGUGAAUUGCAGAAUUCAGUGAAUCAUCGAAUCUUUGAACGCACCUUGCACCCUUUGGCAUUCCGAAGGGUAUGCUCGUUUGAGUGUCAUUGUACUCUCACUCUCCCGAUGCUUUUGGAUCGGGAGUGGUGGACUUGGGUGUUGCUGCUUUGCUGUGGCUCGCCUCAAAUGGAGUAGUGCAACUCUUGGUUGGACAUAGUACGGCGUGAUAAGUGUCUUCGCCGGCGCCUCAUUAUAGAGGGUGGCCGAUCUGGAGCUCUGUGCUUCAAACCGUCUUCGGACAACAUCUGACAACUUGACCUCAAAUCGAGUAGGACUACCCGCUGAACUUAAGCAUAUCAAUAAGCGGAGGA